rnacentral:rRNA from 1 species
AACGAACGCUGGCGGCGCGCCUAAUACAUGCAAGUCGAGCGAGAAGACGUAGCAAUACGUUUGUAAAGCGGCGAACGGGUGAGGAAUACAUGGGUAACCUACCCUCGAGUGGGGAAUAACUAGCCGAAAGGUUAGCUAAUACCGCGUACGCUCCUUGGACUUCGGUUCAGGGAGGAAAGCGAUACCGUGGGUAUCGCGCUCUUGGAUGGGCUCAUGUCCUAUCAGCUUGUUGGUGAGGUAACGGCUCACCAAGGCUUCGACGGGUAGCUGGUCUGAGAGGACGAUCAGCCACACUGGCACUGCGACACGGGCCAGACUCCUACGGGAGGCAGCAGUAAGGAAUAUUGCGCAAUGGGCGAAAGCCUGACGCAGCGACGCCGCG